rnacentral:rRNA from 1 species
GUGGGGAAUCUUGCGCAAUGGGCGAAAGCCUGACGCAGCCAUGCCGCGUGAAUGAUGAAGGUCUUAGGAUUGUAAAAUUCUUUCACCGGGGACGAUAAUGACGGUACCAUACGAGGAAGCCCCGGCAAACUACGUGCCAGCAGCCGCGGUAAUACGUAGGUGGCGAGCGUUAUCCGGAUUUAUUGGGUGUAAAGGGCGUGUAGGCGGGACAGCAAGUCAGAUGUGAAAACCAGAGGCUCAACCUCUGGCCUGCAUUUGAAACUGUUGUUCUUGAGUGUCGGAGAGGUAAUCGGAAUUCCGAGUGUAGCGGUGAAAUGCGUAGAUAUACGGAGGAACACCAGUGGCGAAGGCGGAUUACUGGACGAUAACUGACGCUGAGGCGCGAAAGCGUGGGGAGCAAACAGGAUUAGAAACCCCGGUAGUCC